UGCCAGCCGCCGCGGUAAUACGGAGGGGGUUAGCGUUGUUCGGAAUUACUGGGCGUAAAGCGCACGUAGGCGGAUUAGAAAGUUGGGGGUGAAAUCCCAGGGCUCAACCCUGGAACUGCCUCCAAAACUACUAGUCUUGAGUUCGAGAGAGGUGAGUGGAAUUCCGAGUGUAGAGGUGAAAUGCGCAGAGAUCAGGAGGAACACCAAUGGCGAAAGCAAGUAACUAGACUAUUACUGACACUCAGCUGCGAAAGCUAGGGGAGCAAACAGGAUUAGAUA
rnacentral:rRNA from 1 species